UGCGAGGUCGUAGGCUUCAUAGCUUCCCCCGAAGCUUCAGACAAGCCCCUGGAAGGAAGGAAUAAGCGCAAGGAUCCCGCCAAGGAAGCUUGAAUCGCAUCCUCCCAUGGUCUCUUGACUGGUAACGGAGAAUUAGGGUUUGAUUCCGGAGAGGGAGCCUGAGAAACGGCUACCACAUCAAGGAAGGCAGCAGGCGCGCAAAUUAUCCAAUCCUGACACAGGGAGGUAGUGACAAGAAAUAACUAUACAGGGCAUCCAUGUCUUGUAAUUGGAAUGAGUAGAAUUUAAACCCCUUUAUGAGUAUUGGAGGGCAAGUCUGGUGCCAGCAGCCGCGGUAAUUCCAGCUCCAAUAGCGUAUAUUACAGUUGUUGCGGUUAAAAGCUCGUAGUUGGAUUUCUGUUGGGGAUGACCGGUCCGCCUUAGGGCUGGCCCAGUGAAAUCAAGACGCCCGAAAGAUCCGAUUCCAGGGGAGUCUGAUAGGACCAAAC
rnacentral:ncRNA from 1 species